CCAAGGAAGGCAGCAGGCGCGCAAAUUACCCACUCCCGGCACGGGGAGGUAGUGACGAAAAAUAACAAUACGGGACUCUUUUGAGACCCCGUAAUUGGAAUGAGUACACUCUAAAUCCUUUAACGAUGAACUAUUGGAGGUAAAGUCUGGUGCCAGCAUCCGCGGUAACUCCAGCUCCAAUAGCGUAUAUUAAAGUUGUUGCGGUUAAAAAGCUCGUAGUUGGAUCUCAGUUUGCGGGUCGGCGGUCCGACGCGAGUCGGUCACUGCCGGCCCGCGACCGGCCGCCGGUUUCCGCGGAUGAUCUUCACCGGUUGUCCGUGGUGACCGGCAAGUUUACUUUGAAAAAAUUAGAGUGCUCAAAGCAGGCAGCCUCGCCUGAAUAAUGGUGCAUGGAAUAAUGGAAUAGGACCUCGGUUCUAUUUUGUUGGUUUUCGGAACACGAGGUAAUGAUUAAGAGGGACAGACGGGGGCAUUCGUAUUGCGACGCUAGAGGUGAAAUUCUUGGACCGCCGCACGACGAACUACUGCGAAAGCAUUUGCCAAGAAUGUUUCCAUUAAUCAAGAACGAAAGUCAGAGGUUCGAAGGCGAUCAGAUACCGCCCUAGUUCUGACCAUAAACGAUGCCAGCCAGCGAUCCGGCUGCGUUCCUCAAAUGACGCGCCGGGCAGCUUCCGGGAAACCAAAGCUUUUGGGUUCCGGGGGGAGUAUGGUUGCAAAGCUGAAACUUAAAGGAAUUGACGGAAGCGCACACAAGAAAUGGGGCCUGCGGCUUAAUUUGACUCAACACGGUGCAACUCACCCGGCCCGGACACAGGAAGGAUUGACAGAU
rnacentral:rRNA from 1 species